AGCGCCUUCCUAGAAAGAGCUCCAUUAAAAUGCAAAUGAAGACUUUGCAGAAGUUGUCUGUUAAUACGACGAAGGACGCAAUUUCUUAGACCUAAGCAACACGAAAUCGUCACCAGGCUCCACACUGAAAUGUGAAGGUUAGAGGGGCUGACUGAAGGUUAGAGGGGCUGACUGAAAAUGGAGCUAUAUCGUUAUGCAAAUAUAUCUAUUUUGCAUAAAAUCUAUAUUAUACCUGGUUGCAGCUACAAGCUCUCCUGCCUUUCCUCGCUCCUCCGUAUUUGAGACCGAGCUCCCCCUGCCAUCCCAAAGCUCCUCAGGUUCAGCACGUAAACACUGCAAUUACUCAGCCUGUCCUUAGAAGAGGGGCGGUUUCUCCUCAUGAAGAAGGAAAGAACGUGCGUGGAAAAAAGAAGAGAAUAGGAAAAAAGAUGAGCUGGAGGAAAAAUCGGGGUAGUUCGUGUGAUUUUUUGUGUGCAAAGCACCAUAAACAAGAUGCGCAAAGCAGAGGUUAAGAGCAUAACGAUGCACCUCUUCAGAGAAAUGUCAGGGAUUACAGACCGCGUGUUUCCAGCCCAAGUCGACGUCCUUUGCACGCCACCAUGUCACAGAUUUCAUCAAGGCAGAGACUGCUGGAGCUCUUCGCUGACGUUCGCCUCUGUACAUCUGGGAAGAACCACUGCCUGGGCCGUGCUUCCUCCCGAGAGCAACAGCACAACGCUGGCACGUUUAGAAUAAAUUUUGAUCCUUCCU